AUGCCUCCCCUCUACAUAUUAUCACUCUGGCUUCUCUUCGUGCACACUACUCCUUGGUGCUCCUCCUCUGCAACUGCAAGCAAUGACACUCUCAUGGCAGGCCAAAACCUGGCCUUCGCUGACAAGCUUGUCUCGAGAAACGGCAAGUUCGCGCUUGGCUUCUUCCAGUUCCAUCCAGCAAGCACCAUCAGUAAGUCAUCCCACAACACCACAUCUCCCAGCCCCAGCUUGUGGUACCUUGGCAUAUGGUUCAAUAAGAUCCCAGUUCUCACAACCGUAUGGAUUGCUAAUAGGGAUCAGCCCAUCACCAACCCCAAUGUCAACCUAACACAGCUCAAGAUAUCAAGAGAUGGCAAUCUUGUCAUAGUAAACCAUGCCGCCAACAAUGAAUCCAUUGUUUGGUCCACUCACAUUGUCAAUAAUAGGACACACAGCAGCAUCAAAGCCACUAGUUCUGCCGUUCUCUUGAACAGUGGAAACCUUGUCCUCAAAGAGAGCCGGUCAUCUGACCUACUGGCAUGGCAGAGCUUCGACUACCCAACAGAUGUUGUGCUUGCUGGUGCCAAGUUAGGCCGAAACAAGGUCAUUAGUUUCACUCGCCAACCCAUCUCAAAGAAGAGCCUCAUUGAUCCGGGGCUCGGCUCAUACAGCAUUGAAUUAGAAGACACCAGGGGGCUUGUCCUCAGUCGCCGCAACAACCCAUCUGUAGUGUAUUGGCAGUAUGCAUCCUCCACAACAUCAUCAUUCAAUCUUGUGCGAGUACUCAACUCACUGCUUGAUUCCAAUCCUCUGACCAAAGGCUUAUAUAACCUAGUAUAUGUUGAUAAUGACCAAGAGGAGUACUACAUGUACACUUCACAUAAUGAACCAUCGCCUUCUGUAUUUGUCUCACUAGACAUGUCUGGUCAGAUAAAGCUGAAUCACUGGUCGCAAGCUAAUCAGUCUUGGCAAAUCAUAUAUGCCCAACCUGACGAUCCCUGCAACGCGCCUGCUGCCUGUGGACCUUUUACAGUGUGCAGAGGCAAUCCAAAUCCAUCAUGUGACUGCAUGGAGAGCUUCUCUCAGAAGUCGCCGCAGGAUUGGAAGUUUCAAGAUCGAACAGGAGGAUGCAUCAGAAAUACACCUUUACAUUGCACUAGUGACAAAAACAUCACAAGUUCAACAGACAUGUUCCAGCCCAUUGCUCAAGUUACAUUGCCCUACAGCCCACAAAUCAUAGCCGUUGCCACCACUCAGAGCGAAUGCGAAGAAACUUGUCUCGGUUCCUGCUCCUGCACUGCUUAUUCCUAUAAUGAUAGCAAAUGCUCUGUCUGGAAUGGGGAGUUGCUUAGUGUAACUCUUAGUGAUGGCAUUGAAUACACUUCUAAAGAUGUUCUUUAUCUCCGUCUUGCUGCCAAAGAUUUCAUGCCAAGUUUGAGGAAAAACAAAAGAAAACCAAACGUUGGAGUUGUUACCGCUGCAAGCAUUAUUGGUUUUGGGUUACUCAUGCUCAUGUUUCUGUUACUGAUUUGGAGGAACAGAUUUAAGUGGUGUGGUUUUCUUUCAUCAUACUAUGACAAUCAAGGCAGUGUUGGCGGGAUUAUAGCCUUCAGAUAUACUGAUUUAGUUCGUGCUACUAAAAACUUCUCUGACAAGCUUGGUGGUGGAGGUUUUGGUUCUGUAUAA
rnacentral:rRNA from 1 species